CACUCUUAGGCAAUAGGCAAAGAGGCGCCUUGUUGGGGCGUUGCUCUUAUAUCAGUCAGGGGCAGGGCAGAUGACAGUCCCUUGUUCAUCCUCGCUUGAUGCCUGGCUUGGUGGCCAAAAGCUGGCUUAAGCCUAGGACCCAUAA